rnacentral:rRNA from 1 species
CCUACGGGUAGCAGCAGUGGGGAAUAUUGGACAAUGGGCGCAAGCCUGAUCCAGCCAUGCCGCGUGGGUGAUGAAGGCCCUAGGGUUGUAAAGCCCUUUCGGCGGGGAAGCGGUACCCGCAGAAGAAGCCCCGGCUAACUUCGUGCCAGCAGCCGCGGUAAUACGAAGGGGGCUAGCGUUGCUCGGAAUCACUGGGCGUAAAGCGCACGUAGGCGGACUUUUAAGUCGGAGGUGAAAUCCUGGAGCUCAACUCCAGAACUGCCUUCGAUACUGAGAGUCUUGAGUUCGGGAGAGGUGAGUGGAACUGCGAGUGUAGAGGUGAAAUUCGUAGAUAUUCGCAAGAACACCAGUGGCGAAGGCGGCUCACUGGCCCGUCUGACGCUGAGGUGCGAAAGCGUGGGGAGCAAACAGGAUUAAUACCCUUGUAGUC